CUGGGGGAAGGGGCGGGGCGACCUGGGCGGUGCGCCGCGCGCCGGACUGUGAGGACACUCCGCUGGAGCCGGCUAGGGGUCACUCAUGGAGAAGGCAGGUGACAUGUUACGAAGACACUCAAGCAGCUUCACAGAGAGGUCUACAUGGUGAGGAACUGAGGUCUCCUGCAACUUGCCAGCCAUGUGAGUGACACAUCUUAGGACUGAUUCCUCAGCCCAUCAAGACUGCAGACUCAGCUGACAUCUUGACUCAUGAUAUAUCAUGAGCCAGAAGAGCUGGGCUAAGCUGUUCCAAAUUCCUGACCCACAGAAACUGUGUGACAUAAUAAAUGCUCAGAAUGCCUCAUCCUGUUCUUUGUCCUGAAUUCAGCAACUGCCAUGGCCAAUGACUUAAUCCGUGUAGAACCAGGUGGCUAAGGAAGCUGUUCAGCAGCCAGAGAGGGAAAUUUCUCCCAAAUAGGAUAUUGGAAAAGGAAGGACUUCCCAGAGGUGAAAUCAAGAGUCAUAAAGAGCAAUGGACUAUGAAGCUACCUCCAGGAAACAAAACUGAAGAUUAAUUAAGUAAAGUUCCCUACACUCAGGUUAGUAGACCUUAUAACAAUUCCUCAAUGGGAUUUCAGAACUGUUGUGGACCAGUAACUGCUGGGUUCUCCCUUUCUUCUCAUUUCUAAAUGGAAGUGUUUAUUGUGGUUACACUAUUUAAUUAUGGAUGUAUAGGUGUGUAUUUUAUCAUGUGUGGGUACAAAUAACAAGUCUUUCAGUUUAUAGGACUUUGGCUCAAUAGAGCUACAUUUUGGCAUGAUAGAAACUCAAGAUCCUGAAUUUCAAGCUAAAUGUUUUUAUUAGAUCAGACCUUGGAGUAUCUUUAGGAUGGGGUGAUUACAUUUGGCUUACAGGAAGGAAGUGAACAUUUGUGAACAGGAGCAGGCUGUGGUAGAUUACAUUAUUUCACAAAUAAUAAUCCCCUCCAUACACUUAACCAUUCUUCUCUGUGAGCACAGUAUGUUUUCCUUUCCACUGACUUUGGCCUGGGUCAUAUUACUUUCUAGUGAAAC